UCUGUUGGCCAUCUGUACAUCUUCUUAAGAGAAAUGUCUAUUUAGGUCUUACACCCAUUUUUUAAUUUUUUUUUAUUUUUGCUGUUUUUUUGCUGUUUUUGAGUCAUAUGAGUUGUUUGUACAUUUUGGAGAUUAAGCCCUUGUUUGUGUAGUUUGCAACUAUCUUCUCUCAUUUUAUAGGUUGUCUUUUCAUUUUUUUUAAUGGUUUCCUUUGCUCUGCAAAAGUGUGUUAUGUUUGAUUAGGUCCCACUGGUUCAUAGCAGCACUAUUUGCAAUAGUCAAGAAAUGGAAACAAUCUAAAUUUCCAUCAACAGAUGAUUGGAUUAAGAAGAUAUUGUACUUUUACACAGUGGAAUACUACUCAGCCACAAAAAAGAAAAAAAUAAUGCCAUUUGCAGCAACGUGAAUGCAACUAGAGAUUAUCCUACUAAGUGAAGUAAGUCAGAAAGAGAAAGACAAAUACCAUAUGAUAUCACUUACAUGUGGAAGCUUACAUAUGGUACAGAUGGCCCUAUCUACAAAAUAGAAACAGACUCAUAGAUAUGGAGAAUAAACUUGUGAUGCCAAGGGAGAGAGGGGAGGGCAUGGGAUGGAUGGGGAGUUUGAGUUUAGUAGAUGCAAACUAUUACAUUUAGAAUGGAUAAGCAAUGAGGUCCUGCUAGGUGCAGCUUCAAUCCCUGUCCCAUAACAUUGGGUUAAAAGAUCCAGCACUGCCAUAGCUGUGGUGUAAGUCACAGCUAUGGCACAGAUUCAGUCUCUGGCCUGGGAACUUCCGAUGCUGUGUGUGGGUUCAACCACACACACACACACACACACACACACCAAACAAACAAACAAACAAAUAAAAAAAACCCUGUGACUUAUUGGGUUGUGGUUCAAUUGUGGUGCUAGACCUAGGCUGACUAGAUUCAAAUCCCAGCUUCUAUUUUCUACUUGCUGUGUGUUCAUGGGUAAGUAACAACUUCUCUGUGUCUCAUAUUCCUUCUCUGCAAAAUGGUGAUAGCAUUAGUACCUACCUCAUGAAGUUGCUAUAAAGAUUAAGAAAGACAUAUUACAAUUAAAGUCCUUAGAAAAGGAUCUGGUACAUAGUAAGUACUUAAGCAUUAACUUAUGUUAUUAAUACAAAGAACACAUUUUCCAAAUAACACAACACUCUUUUUUGUUCCCCAAAAAGCUUUGUUUUAGGGGGAAUAUACAUAUAAUUAAUUAUUUAGAUAUAUAGGCAUGUAGAUACGUAUAUAGGCAUUUAUUUAAAUUCCACUCCAUGUUGGAUUUAUUCUUCCUGUGUCCAGAUUCUUAUGUUCCACAUAAACCCUAAAGCACGGCUCAGCCCUUCUACCCAAAGAUAAUCUACUUCAUCAAAUAUUAAUGAACAGUACUAAAGAGGGGGCUAUGUCAUAUAUCACACCAAAAUAAUGUAAAACAUCUUCAUUAGAUAGUUCUCUUAUCCCCCCAAAUUGCUCCUUGACCAAAAUUGUCCCAAAUUGCUCCUUGGCCACACAGUCAAUCAACCAGCUUCUCCCCAUCUCCCAAUUCCCUACAUGUUCCCUGCUGCUUCCUCCAGGAUUCCUUAGCCCUUUCAUCUGGGCUCACACUGCCCUUCCCCAAUGCAGAUCUUCUCUCUGCUGCCCCAUUUCAUCAGGAGCCCCUGAAGGGAGUUGUUAUCUUCCUUGUAUCUUACUCUUGUAUCCUUAUAUCCCUGACACUAGUAGAGGGCCUGCAAUGCAGGUAGUACAUGCUCUGUGGGCUAGCAAGAACAAGCGAAAGAAUAUUACCUAAGAAUCCACCUUCUUUUAUGGAUGAGACGUUGAGAGGAAAGGAUAGUAAGGGGCCUGCGGAACAGUUAAAAAGAGACCUAGCUUCUCCUGUCUCCUCUGCCCCCAUCCACCUCCAAGACCAAGUCCCUCCAGUAGCAGGCUUUCCAUUAAAACCUGGAAUGAUUCUAACCUUCCUGUCUUUUUUGAAGAUCAACAUUACUCCAGGAGCCAGUCUGAGGCCACGCAGAGAGUAAGCUUUUUCAACUGCUGCUGCCUUUCUUCCAUUCCCUACUGGGAAAAACUAAUCAAAAAUGUAAGGAAGCUUAAAAAUAUUCCAAGGAGAUUUGAUUGUUCAUUGGUGGCCAGUCUCAAGAAAUGCAGGCUGAUGAACACAAACCCCAUCCCCACCACCUCCUGGGACCUUCCAGCCAGAGGAGGUACCUGAGUCCCUUGUUCUCUCCAUUUACCUAAAAAAGAAGCC
rnacentral:lncRNA from 1 species